rnacentral:rRNA from 1 species
CUCCCAGGCGUCGAGCGGCGGACGGGUGAGUAACACUUAGGAAUCUACCUAGUAGUGGGGGAUAGCUCGGGGAAACUCGAAUUAAUACCGCAUACGACCUACGGGAGAAAGGGGGCAGUUUACUGCUCUCGCUAUUAGAUGAGCCUAAGUCGGAUUAGCUAGUUGGUGGGGUAAAGGCCUACCAAGGCGACGAUCUGUAGCUGGUCUGAGAGGAUGAUCAGCCACACCGGGACUGAGACACGGCCCGGACUCCUACGGGAGGCAGCAGUGGGGAAUAUUGGACAAUGGGGGGAACCCUGAUCCAGCCAUGCCGCGUGUGUGAAGAAGGCCUUUUGGUUGUAAAGCACUUUAAGCAGUGAAGAAGACCUAACGGUUAAUACCCGUUAGCGAUGACAUUAGCUGCAGAAUAAGCACCGGCUAACUCUGUGCCAGCAGCCGCGGUAAUACAGAGGGUGCAAGCGUUAAUCGGAAUUACUGGGCGUAAAGCGAGCGUAGGUGGCUUGAUAAGUCAGAUGUGAAAUCCCCGGGCUUAACCUGGGAACUGCAUCUGAUACUGUUAAGCUAGAGUAGGUGAGAGGGAAGUAGAAUUCCAGGUGUAG